CUGGGAGGGGCUGCAGAUGUCAAAGCCACAGAAUACAGAAAACAAGCCAUGAUUAAUAUGUCUGAAGGGUAAGUAGCACUAGAUCUCAGACCUUGUGCCUCAUGAUAAUACUGGACUACCUUAUUCUGGGAACACACAGGCAGCUGGGAGUCGUGCUGGAUGGCACGGAGGCUGUGGAUGAAGAGGCUCCCAGCACUUGGGGUGCCCAAGCAUCGAGGAGCCGGGCCUGAAAAGCAGCAACAACUGGCAGGUAGAACAAGCCAGGGCUACAGGAGCCUUGGGUGAGAAGACGUGGUGCAGAGCCUGGGAGAUGCCAGGGACGGUGGUCUCAUGGUGCUCUCAGGGACACCUCUCAGUAGGCAAUGCGAAGCUUUGACGUGAGUCCUCAGCCAGGCGCUGCCUCAGACCCCAGGUCCCGGCGGCCUCGUUGUGCCUGCGGCCUCUCCAUCCUGCAAGUUCAGCUGCUUUCGGGUGCAAGAUGGUCUGGCACAGCAAAGCCCGCUGGGGAGGCCCACAGCUCCACGUCCAAGAUGCAAGCGAACGCAGCAAUCAAUCAAGAAAUACAGCUGCCACCACCACUUUCCGUCUGACAAGUGUUAUUCAUAGAGCACAGCAGGUCUGGGGGCGACUGGCUGAGGUGGCGCAGCCAGCUGGAAUUUGAUAAUUUGGAGUCAAAGCGGCUGGAGCUUGCGGUGGGAGCUGAGGGUGGGUACAGACACCCAUUGUAGAUGCUCUGGUCCUUAUGUUUUUAAGAACUCUUGAGGCAGGUCAAGUGUACGACUGAACGUGAUGGCCCCAUCCUUGCUUCUACUGUAGAAUCCGGAAAGGAAGACUGGGCUGCGUAGAUGAUUAGCAUCUUCUUUUA